rnacentral:rRNA from 1 species
AUUAGAUACCCUGGUAGUCCACACGGUAAACGAUGAAUACUCGCUGUUUGCGAUAUACUGCAAGCGGCCAAGCGAAAGCGUUAAGUAUUCCACCUGGGGAGUACGCCGGCAACGGUGAAACUCAAAGGAAUUGACGGGGGCCCGCACAAGCGGAGGAACAUGUGGUUUAAUUCGAUGAUACGCGAGGAACCUUACCCGGGCUUAAAUUGCAGAUGAAUUACGGUGAAAGCCGUAAGCCGCAAGGCAUCUGUGAAGGUGCUGCAUGGUUGUCGUCAGCUCGUGCCGUGAGGUGUCGGCUUAAGUGCCAUAACGAGCGCAACCCUUGUUGUCAGUUACUAACAGGUUCCGCUGAGGACUCUGACAAGACUGCCAUCGUAAGAUGUGAGGAAGGUGGGGAUGACGUCAAAUCAGCACGGCCCUUACGUCCGGGGCUACACACGUGUUACAAUGGGGGGUACAGAGGGCCGCUACCACGCGAGUGGAUGCCAAUCCCCAAAACCUCUCUCAGUUCGGACUGGAGUCUGCAACCCGACCCCACGAAGCUGGAUUCGCUAGUAAUCGCGCAUCAGCCACGGCGCGGUGAAUACGUUCCCGGGCCUUGUACACACCGCCCGUCAAGCCAUGGGAGCCGGGGGUACCUGAAGUGCGUAACCGCGAGGAGCGCCCUAGGGUAAGACUGGUGACUGGGGCUAAGUCGUAACAAGGUAAC